AGUGGCGGACGGGUGAGUAACGCGUGAGAAUCUGCCUUCAGGUUCGGGACAACCACUGGAAACGGUGGCUAAUACCGAAUGUGCAGCAAUGUGAAAUAUUUAUAGCCUGAAGAUGAGCUCGCGUCUGAUUAGCUAGUAGGUGUGGUAAUAGCGCACCUAGGCGACGAUCAGUAGCUGGUCUGAGAGGAUGAUCAGCCACACUGGGACUGAGACACGGCCCAGACUCCUACGGGAGGCAGCAGUGGGGAAUUUUCCGCAAUGGGCGAAAGCCUGACGGAGCAAUACCGCGUGAGGGAGGAAGGCUCUUGGGUUGUAAACCUCUUUUCUCAGGGAAGAAAAAAAUGACGGUACCUGAGGAAUAAGCAUCGGCUAACUCCGUGCCAGCAGCCGCGGUAAUACGGAGGAUGCAAGCGUUAUCCGGAAUGAUUGGGCGUAAAGCGUCCGCAGGUGGCUAUGUAAGUCUGCUGUUAAAGAGUCUGGCUCAACCAGAUAAAGGCAGUGGAAACUACAUGGCUAGAGUGCGUUCGGGGCAGAGGGAAUUCCUGGUGUAGCGGUGAAAUGCGUAGAGAUCAGGAAGAACACCGGUGGCGAAAGCGCUCUGCUAGGCCGCAACUGACACUGAGGGACGAAAGCUAGGGGAGCGAAUGGGAUUAGAUACCCCAGUAGUCCUAGCCGUAAACGAUGGAUACUAGGCGUGGCUUGUAUCGACCCGAGCCGUGCCGUAGCUAACGCGUUAAGUAUCCCGCCUGGGGAGUACGCAGCGAACUGUGAAACUCAAAGGAAUUGACGGGGGCCCGCACAAGCGGUGGAGUAUGUGGUUUAAUUCGAUGCAACGCGAAGAACCUUA
rnacentral:rRNA from 1 species